rnacentral:rRNA from 1 species
AUCAUGGCUCAGAGUGAACGCUGGCGGCAUGCCUAACACAUGCAAGUCGAACGGUAACAGGCCCGCAAGGGUGCUGACGAGUGGCGGACGGGUGAGGAAUACAUCGGAAUUUGCCCAGUCGUGGGGGAUAACGUAGGGAAACUUACGCUAAUACCGCAUACGACCUAACGGUGAAAGCGGGGGAUCGCAAGACCUCGCGCGGAUGGAUAAGCCGAUGUCGGAUUAGCUAGUUGGCGGGGUAAAGGCCCACCAAGGCGACGAUCCGUAGCUGGUCUGAGAGGAUGAUCAGCCACACUGGGACUGAGACACGGCCCAGACUCCUACGGGAGGCAGCAGUGGGGAAUAUUGGACAAUGGGGGCAACCCUGAUCCAGCAAUGCCGCGUGUGUGAAGAAGGCCUUCGGGUUGUAAAGCACUUUUAUCCGGAACGAAACGCGCAGGGUGAAUAUCCUUGCGAACUGACGGUACCGGAGGAAUAAGC